rnacentral:tRNA from 1 species
GCCGUCGUAGCUCAGGAAGCCCGCCCGCAACGCCUUCGCAUAGCGAUGGCGGGCGCGGUAGAGCACCUGGUUAUUUAAUCAGGAGGUCUCUGGUUCGAGUCCAGGCGUCGGCCCCA